GGGAUUAGUGGCGAACGGGUGAGUAACACGUGGGCAAUCUGCCCUGCACUCUGGGACAAGCCCUGGAAACGGGGUCUAAUACCGGAUACGACACACUCAGGCAUCUGAUGUGUGUGGAAAGCUCCGGCGGUGCAGGAUGAGCCCGCGGCCUAUCAGCUUGUUGGUGAGGUAACGGCUCACCAAGGCGACGACGGGUAGCCGGCCUGAGAGGGCGACCGGCCACACUGGGACUGAGACACGGCCCAGACUCCUACGGGAGGCAGCAGUGGGGAAUAUUGCACAAUGGGCGCAAGCCUGAUGCAGCGACGCCGCGUGAGGGAUGACGGCCUUCGGGUUGUAAACCUCUUUCAGCAGGGAAGAAGCGAAAGUGACGGUACCUGCAGAAGAAGCGCCGGCUAACUACGUGCCAGCAGCCGCGGUAAUACGUAGGGCGCAAGCGUUGUCCGGAAUUAUUGGGCGUAAAGAGCUCGUAGGCGGCUUGUCACGUCGGAUGUGAAAGCCCGGGGCUUAACCCCGGGUCUGCAUUCGAUACGGGCAGGCUAG
rnacentral:rRNA from 1 species